CUCGGCUCCGGGGAGGCGGUGCGGGAGGGCGCUGGCCGCGUCCGCCCGCCGAGAGCCUCGGGUCGCGCAGCCUUCCUGAUGUGUCACCAGCACGUGGAGCCAGGUCGGGCCUUGCGAGCGAGCGGAACCCCCCAACUUUCGAAGGGUCUCGCUGCUCUGCUCCUGUCCCCGCUGCGCCGGGCGCGCCCCCUUUGGGGACUGGGCAGCGGCGGCCUCCGGGUCCGGGCAGGGCGGACGAGGCCGGGGCCCCAGGCCAGAUGCGCGCGGGGCGGCCCGAACGUCGGGGCGCGGAGCCCCGGCUCGCGGCUGAGCCACCAGCGUCUCGGCGGCGGCGGGGACUCGCGUGCGGAGGGCGUGGCCCGCGGCGGGUGAGGGUUCCCGCCCCCCUCUCCGAGCGGAGCGCAGAACAAUCACCCUAAAGAAGACAGAUCAUAAAAAGGGAAUGAAAGCCUAUGAUGAAUGAACAAGCUGUAUACACUUGCCAUUGUGAUCAGAGAAUAACACCGUCUGUGAGAAGUCCGACAACUGGAGAGGGGCCAGAGGACAGAAGAUGAGGAAAUAAAGUGAAGUUUCAUACACAGAGGGUCCAGGCAAAAAUCCUGAGCAAAGUAGAAACCAACUGUGGACAUUUCUGCAGAAAGGAGUCCUCACUUAGAGCUUCCAGGGAACCAGCAGGAAGUCUCAUCAAAUUGGGUUCACUUUCUAUAUUUAGAGCAUCAGAAGGCUGAACAUGUCAGACAGAGUUCAGUUCAGUUAUUUUCUAGAAGAACGGGGUGACUACUUCAAAUGGAAAACAUUGACUCAAGGCCCUAAAAGUUGACUGGGAAGACAGUAGCAGUGACGAUGGGAUACGAGAUGCCGCAGUAAUAAUAGGACCCCGGAUCUUGGCAGCUCCAAGCAGCAAGGCUCAGUUCUCACCUCUGCUCUUAGUCCCCUGCCUGGAGCAACUGGAGGCUCCACCCUGCAUCUGUCUCCUCUGGGACCCAGGCUGAGGGAGCAACCCUUAUGAGGGGGAGGAAGCAGUGUGGUGAGCCAUGGGUUGGCUCUGAAAGCGUCACCCACAAGUGACAAGGCAAGUCUUAUGGCCAAGGUUAACUUCAAAAAUGGUAGGCAGUACAACCCCACUCCCCAUGGGGAGGAUGAGGAGCCAGAAAUAUGUCGGGGUAGCACCACAGACUCCACAGCCCCAGGGCUGCCAGUAUCUCAUGCAGGGAAGUGCAGGCUCUGGGCAAGAAAGGACUGGGUAGAGACUCAGCACUUUGGCAUCUGACUGGGGUCUCAGGGUCGGGAGCAAGUCAGAGGCGCAGACCAGAGCAACUGGAGGCUGGGAAAAAAGCACCAGGGCAGCAGAAGCGGACGUCAUCUCCAGAACCCUAAAUAUUCAGUGAUUGAGGUGUUUAAAUACUUGGCAGUCUAAUCAUUUAAAUGGACUAGGACAACUACUUAAAGUGACAAUAUAAAUGAACAUUUGUUGGCAACAAGCUACACGCUGGGAGUGUCCAUUUGGGGAAGGGGCUGUCAGAUGUUGAAGCAGCACCUGGCAGAGAGGGGAUCCUGUGGUAUUUGCCUCGGUGCGGACAGGCAGGAGGUGUGCAGGUUGCAUGGUGCUGGUUGAGACCUCAAAAGGUUGACAGACCAUCUGGAGACAAACACAUUCCCAUGCCAAUGUGGCAACUGGGGCAACUGGCAUUUCCUCCAGAGCUACUGGUGUCAUUUGUGUGCAAAUAAUGUGAGAAAAUUUGACUCUCUGCCUGGCUUGCCAGGAGGCUCCUGGGCAGAGUUAGCUUGUGGUUGCCUGGACCUCGUGUGGGGCUGCAGUAGGAAGGACUCUCCAAGUAUGACUAUGGGAGCAUGCACGUUUUCCGGACGUGGCCAUUUUGUUUCUCAGCUCCUCAAAUUUCUACUCCUAAAGUGAAGCUGUACACUGUGAUUAAGAGCACAGACUGCUGGGGCUGGAAUCCGGGGCCCAUCGCUCUGAGGGACCUUAAGGGAGACUUGACCAUUCUGGCCUCAGGACCACUGUGUGUGAAAUAAUAUUUCAGAGACUUGUGUCCAUAUAUAAAUUAAAUACAAAGGGCUUAGGAAAGAGCAUUCGAUAAAUAUUAAACAUUUAAAACCCUAUACUACUGCCUCUGAAUUUCAGCAAAGAAUUUGUGAGCCAUUCAGAGUAUCUUUGUAGGCAAACGGAAAAACUGAGACAG
rnacentral:lncRNA from 1 species